rnacentral:rRNA from 1 species
GACAGAGGGUGCAAACGUUGUUCGGAAUUACUGGGCGUAAAGCGCGUGUAGGCGGCAGCGUGUGUCGGGCGUGAAAUCCCACGGCUCAACCGUGGAAGUGCACUCGAAACUGCGCGGCUAGAGUCCUGGAGAGGAAGGUGGAAUGCUUGGUGUAGAGGUGAAAUUCGUAGAUAUCAAGCGGAACACCGGUGGCGAAGGCGACCUUCUGGACAGUGACUGACGCUGAGACGCGAAAGCGUGGGGAGCAAACAGG